UUUAACCAAUACUCACUCUCUUUUCUUUUUAAAUAAAUUUUAGUUUAGUUAAUAGGAAGUGGCUGUAAGCGUGUAUUUGAGUCAGAAGUAAUGAAA